UAUUUCGUAUUACCAGAGCUGGCUUUCCUUCCUUGAUGUUCUUCCAGUACAAUACCGUAUGGAAUACCGAUUUCCACUCUCCCAGCCAUUUUUCAGUUGAGUGCAAACUACUUGGCUGUCCUGGUCCCGCUCAGAUCCGCUGGAAUUCCAGGAACUGCCAUUUGUGAGUGUUGCUCCAGGCGGGAUGGUGUGAAGAGGCUGGAAGUCUGUAGUCUUCUACAGGUGAACAUACAAGUCAUGCUGUUCUACUGGCCCGUGGAGGUGUUUGGAGUUAUUAUCCUGUUGAAAAUGGUGGAUUAUGAUCAUCAAAUAUUCACGAUCUGAGCUUUUCCCGGGUUCCCGAGGCUCUCCCUGGCAAGAACGGGGGGAAACGCGUUUGAAACCUCUGCCCUUAUCCUCAGGGAGGCUGGAUUUGGUGUUGCUGUUACUAUUAUUAUUACCGUUGUUGGUGGUUUCGUUAUUAUUUACUACUAAUAUUUGAUAUUA